AUUGAACGCUGGCGGCAGGCUUAACACAUGCAAGUCGAGCGGGGUGAUGGUGCUUGCACUAUCACUUAGCGGCGGACGGGCGAGUAAUGCUUAGGAAUCUGCCUAUUAGUGGGGGACAACAUCUCGAAAGGGAUGCUAAUACCGCAUACGUCCUACGGGAGAAAGCAGGGGAUCACUUGUGACCUUGCGCUAAUAGAUGAGCCUAAGUCGGAUUAGCUAGUUGGUGGGGUAAAGGCCUACCAAGGCGACGAUCUGUAGCGGGUCUGAGAGGAUGAUCCGCCACACUGGGACUGAGACACGGCCCAGACUCCUACGGGAGGCAGCAGUGGGGAAUAUUGGACAAUGGGGGGAACCCUGAUCCAGCCAUGCCGCGUGUGUGAAGAAGGCCUUAUGGUUGUAAAGCACUUUAAGCGAGGAGGAGGCUCUUUUGGUUAAUACCCAGGAUGAGUGGACGUUACUCGCAGAAUAAGCACCGGCUAACUCUGUGCCAGCCGCCGCUGUAA
rnacentral:rRNA from 1 species